GAACGAACGCUGGCGGCAUGCCUAACACAUGCAAGUCGAACGAUCCCUUCGGGGAUAGUGGCGCCCGGGUGCGUAACGCGUGGGAACCUGCCCUUAGGUUCGGAAUAACUCAGAGAAAUUUGAGCUAAUACCGGAUAAUGUCUUCGGACCAAAGAUUUAUCGCCUUUGGAUGGGCCCGCGUUGGAUUAGCUAGUUGGUGGGGUAAAGGCCUACCAAGGCGACGAUCCAUAGCUGGUCUGAGAGGAUGAUCAGCCACACUGGGACUGAGACACGGCCCAGACUCCUACGGGAGGCAGCAGUGGGGAAUAUUGGACAAUGGGCGAAAGCCUGAUCCAGCAAUGCCGCGUGAGUGAUGAAGGCCUUAGGGUUGUAAAGCUCUUUUACCCGGGAUGAUAAUGACAGUACCGGGAGAAUAAGCCCCGGCUAACUCCGUG
rnacentral:rRNA from 1 species